UACGUAGGGUGCAAGCGUUGUCCGGAAUUAUUGGGCGUAAAGGGCUCGUAGGCGGUCCAUCGCGUCGGGAGUGAAAAGCUGGGGCUUAACCCCAGUCCUGCUUCCGAUACGGGUGGACUAGAGGUAGGUAGGGGAGAACGGAAUUCCUGGUGUAGCGGUGAAAUGCGCAGAUAUCAGGAGGAACACCAGUGGCGAAGGCAGGUCUCGCUGG
rnacentral:rRNA from 1 species